rnacentral:rRNA from 1 species
CCUACGGGUGGCAGCAGUGGGGAAUUUUGGACAAUGGGCGCAAGCCUGAUCCAGCUAUUCCGCGUGUGGGAAGACGGCCUUCGGGUUGUAAACCACUUUUGUAGAGAACGAAAAGUCUAUUGAUAAUACCGAUAGAUGAUGACGGUACUCUAAGAAUAAGCACCGGCUAACUACGUGCCAGCAGCCGCGGUAAUACGUAGGGUGCGAGCGUUAAUCGGAAUUCCUGGGCGUAAAGGGUGUGCAGGCGGUUUUGCAAGAUGGAUGUGAAAGCCCCGGGCUUAACCUGGGAAAGCCAUACAUGACUGCAAGACUAGAGUGCGUCAGAGGGGGGUGGAAUUCCAAGUGUAGCAGUGAAAUGCGUAGAUAUUUGGAAGAACACCGAUGGCGAAGGCAGCCCCCUGGGACGCAACUGACGCUCAUACACGAAAGCGUGGGGAGCAAACAGGAUUAGAUACCCGGGUAGUC